GCGAAAACUUUACAAUGCUCGCAACAGCGAUAAGGGAACCUCGAGUGCCAGGUUCCAAAUCUGGCUGUCGUGAUGCCUAAAAAGCAUUGCAUAGCAAGGGCCGGGCAAGACCGGUUCCAGCCGCCGCGGUAACACCGGCGGCUCGAGUGGUAACCGUUAGUAUUGCGUCUAAAGGGUCUGUAGCCGGACGGAUAGGUCUCUUGGGAAAUCUGGCAGCUCAACUGUCAGGCUUUCAGGAGAUACUGUCUGGCUCGAGGCCGGGAGAGGUGGGAGGUACUUCAGGGGUAGGGGUGAAAUCUUGUAAUCCUGGAAGGACCACCAGUGGCGAAGGCGUCGCACCGGAACGGAGCUGACGGCAAGGGACGAAAGCUAGGGGCACGAACC
rnacentral:rRNA from 1 species